rnacentral:rRNA from 1 species
CUACGGAGGAUCCGAGCGUUAUCCGGAUUUAUUGGGUUUAAAGGGUGCGCAGGCGGCCAUUUAAGUCAGCGGUUAAAUCGUGGGGCUCAACCCCAUUCUGCCGUUGAUACUGUGUGGCUUGAUUGCGGUCGAGGUUGGCGGAAUUCGUUUUGUAGCGGUGAAAUGCAUAGAUAUGACGAAGAACACCGAUUGCGUAGGCAGCUGACCAGACCGCAAAUGACGCUCAUGCACGAAAGUGCGGGGAUCGAACAGGAUUAGAUACCCUGGUAGUCCGCACAGUAAACGAUGAAUACUUGUUUUCGGCGAUAUAAUGUCGGAGGCAAAGCGAAAGCGAUAAGUAUUCCACCUGGGGAGUACGCCGGCAACGGUGAAACUCAAAUGAAUUGGCGGGG